rnacentral:rRNA from 1 species
GGGGAAUAUUGGACAAUGGGGGCAACCCUGAUCCAGCAAUGCCGCGUGUGUGAAGAAGGUCUUCGGAUCGUAAAGCACUUUCGGCGGGGACGAUGAUGACGGUACCCGCAGAAGAAGCCCCGGCUAACUUCGUGCCAGCAGCCGCGGUAAUACGAAGGGGGCUAGCGUUGCUCGGAAUUACUGGGCGUAAAGGGCGCGUAGGCGGCUUGGCCAGUCAGGCGUGAAAUUCCUGGGCUUAACCUGGGGACUGCGCUUGAUACUGCCAGGCUUGAGGCCGAGAGAGGGUGGUGGAAUUCCCAGUGUAGAGGUGAAAUUCGUAGAUAUUGGGAAGAACACCGGUGGCGAAGGCGACCACCUGGCUCGGUACUGACGCUGAGGCGCGACAGCGUGGGGAGCAAAU